rnacentral:lncRNA from 1 species
CCACUGUGAGCUGGAGUAACUCAAACUCAACCGCCCACAGGGACCACAUUCCUGGCCAGGGAGCUGGGAAGUGUUUCCUGGGGGGAGGGGCAGAAAAGCAAAGCACGUGUCCUGUGCAUCAAGCUUCUUCAUGGGCGCGCCCAGGGAACCGAAGGCUGAGGCCUGGCCAGUGUCCCGAAGGAAGCUUUCACCCCCCUCGUCACUUGUCUCUGUUGGUUCAUGGGCUCGGCAUGUCAGCGUGGCCCCCCGUGCUGGGUCUCAUCAGACCCCAGGGGGAUGCUGAGGGGCAAGCCCAUGGAUCUCCAUCUGUGAGACUGAGCCAUCUGCAAAUGGGCUCAGCUGGGGAGGAUACGCCGCCCACACGGCCAUGUGAGUCCCUGGGGCAGGAACUGCUCCUCAUGCCCACCACAUGCAGGGAAAAAACACAAGUCCUGGAGACAGAUGCCGAGUCCCGUCUCUGCCCACCACCUUCCUGCUUCGAGACCCUGGGCGUGUCACCUCACCUCCCUGGCGUCGGUUUCCUCACCUGUAAAAUGGGGGCUUCAUCGAGGUUUAAUCUCCUACAGCUGAGCGUGAAGCCUGCACGUGACGCCCCCCUGAGACCAGGAAGACCAACAAUCCCACCAGAGAAGAGCGAACAGUGUCUGGCACCUGAGAGAAAGCCACGCCGGCUCACGCUAGACCUCAGUGGCCAAGCGGAUUUAAAUUUAAAUGUACAUAGUCACAUGUGGCUGGUGGCUCCUGUGUUGGACAGCAUCUCUCUAGAAUGUUCCAGCCCAGCAUUGUCCAACAGAACUUUCUGCAAUGACGGGAAUGUCCUGGAUCUGCGCGUCCAAGGGACCCUGGACCCUCUGACUGCAGGAGCUCCCAGUGGCCGGAGCUCAAACGCUUCAUCCUGGAAGGCACGGGACGCCCAGUUAAUUUGCAUUUCAGCUACAGACCAACUCUUUUUAGCAUAAGCAUCUCUCAAAUAUUGCAUGGGACGUGCUUUUACCUGACGACGAUGCGUUAUUUAUCCGAAAUUCCAAUUUCAC